rnacentral:misc_RNA from 1 species
ACAAAGCACUUCUGCAGUGGAGAUCCUUUGAAGCAGAAAAAACGAAUAUAUUUGAUAGGAUUAUUCAUACGAUCCGAUCAUCUAUAGAGGAUCAGGAUAACACCAGUGAUCUUGCCUACUGGCUGUCAACAUCUUCAACUCUGUUGUUCCUUUUGCAAAGCACAAUUAAAGCUGGUAAUGCACCUACUAGGUCCCCAUAUCGUAAUCGCAGCUCACCUACCACAUUGUUUGGAAGAAUGGCACAGGGUUUUCGCUCAACUUCAUUAAGCAUGGCAAUUUCCAGUGGAUACAGCGGAAUUGAGGGAAGCCCAAAUGUCCGGACAAGAAUUGAAGCUAAAUACCCAGCACUAUUGUUUAAGCAACACCUAACUGCUUGCGUUGAGAAAAUAUAUGGAAUGAUCCGCGACAACUUAAAGAAAGAAAUAAGUCCAUUUCUUAACCAAUGCAUACAUGCACCAAGAUCUGCAAGGAUAAAACCAUUAAAAGGAUCAUCUAGAAGUAUACAUUCAAACAUCAUCGCGAAACAACAGGCAUCCAGUGUACACUGGCAAAACAUUGUGAAUAGCUUAGACAAUACAUUGACCAUACUCUCAGAAAAUAAUGUCCCUUCCACCAUUACAAGGAAAAUACUCAGUCAGGUGUUCUCAUACAUAAAUGUCCAGCUUUUUAACAGCUUGUUGCUUCGCCGUGAAUGCUGCUCAUUUAGCAACGGGGAAUAUCUGAAGGCAGGUCUGCAAGAACUAGAAAGUUGGUGUUCCAAAGCAACAGAACAGUAUGCUGGAUCUUCGUGGGAUGAGCUUCAACACAUAAGGCAAGCUGUAGGAUUUCUGGUGCUACAUCAAAAAUCUCAAAAGGCAUUGGAUGAGAUCACAAGUGACCUCUGCCCGAUGUUGAGCAUUGCACAAAUUUAUCGCAUUGGAACUAUGUUCUGGGACGACAAAUAUGGAGCCCAUGGUUUAUCACCAGAGGUCAUUGGCAAGAUGAGAGCACUAACAUUGGAAGACUCAGCCAGCAUUCCAAACAAUACAUUCUUGCUUGAUGUGGAUUCAAGCAUACCAUUCUCUAUAGAAGAAAUAUCGCGAUCCUUCCAGAGUAUCAACUUGUCUGAUGUAGAACCACCUCCCCUCCUUCGUCAAAGAUCAGAUUUUCAAUUCCUGCUGCAGGCAGCAGCAUAAGAGUUUUGAACAUUUUCUUUUGAUUUUACACAGAAAGAGAAUGAUAGUUAUAGGAUUUGAUUGAUUGAAAUUCUUUCUUUUGUUGAUUGGUAAGAUAGAGAGUGAUGAGUUCUCAAAAAUGUAAAUCCUUUUGGUUUCGUGUUUCAUAUUUAUUUUUGUCACCCAAGUGAUGAUUCUACAAAUAUUGUAUUGUGAAGACCGGUUGUAUUAUAUGUUGAGAGAGUGUAGUAAAGAAAAACACAUCCAAGUUUCAAUAGAAAGAAAG